UAGAUGGUAGUAUAACGAAUACUUUUCGCUUACACCGAAAAAUUGGUACAACCCCCCCUUCUA
rnacentral:tRNA from 1 species